AUGAAGAACGUAGCGAAAUGCGAUACUUGGUGUGAAUUGCAGAAUCCCGUGAACCAUCGAGUCUUUGAACGCAAGUUGCGCCUGAGGCCAUUAGGCUAAGGGCACGUCUGCCUGGGCGUCACGC
rnacentral:rRNA from 2 species